rnacentral:lncRNA from 1 species
ACUAUGCAACUAUGCAACUAUGCAACUGUGCAACUAUGCAACUAUGCAACUGUACAACUAUGCAACUGUACAAUUAUGCAACUGUUCAGCUGUACAAAUAUGCAACUGUUCAGCUGUACAAAUAUGCAACUAUUCAGCUGUACAAUUAUAUAUAUGUAUAUACAACUAUAUGUGUGUGUUUAUAUAAAUAUUUGCAUAUAUGACACUAACCAUUAUGUUCUUAUUCUUUUGUGUAGCGAAGCAAACUGUGUAUAUACCUACCACUCUAUAUUUUUUAUUUAUUUAUUUUUUUAUUUUUUUUUUUUUUUUAGCGGACACAUCUUGAACGACAAAGACGAUGAAAAGUGUAUUUGUAUAAAAUUGGUUGACGGUGGGAGUAAGACAGAACUGAUGAAAAGUAAAAGUGGUUUAGGAAAUAUAAAAAAAAACGAGUGCAAUAGUGUAAGAUUUGAAAUAAAUCAUGCUGAUGUAAAAGGUAGUGACAUAAAAAAAAUGCGUUCAUGUAAUUCUUCACCAAUAAAUAUAAAACUAAAUAACAGCGAUACUCAAUUUUUGAAUUUUCGAAGUAAAAUUUAUGAAAAUAAAAGUUUAGAAAUAAAUUUUAUUAACAAUACAGGUAAAAAAGUAGAAGUAAGUUCAAAUAUUGCUCAUGUGUAUGUAAAAGAUUUAAAAAAGAAAAAAAAUGCGACAUCUAUAGAUGAUUUUGAAGAAGAUAUAAUUAACAACUUAAAUCGAUAUAAUAAUAAUAAUAAUACAAUUGUUGAUAGUAAUAAUAAUGGUGAUAGGACACAGGUAUAUAACCAAUGUAUAGCUUGUUCUUCAAUGAAUAAUAAUUUAAUCAAUUUUUUAAACAAAACAGGAAAUUAUUUUAAUUGUUUUUUUACUGACGAAAUAAAAUAUUUUAUUAGUAAUGAAAAUGAGUUAAAGAAAUUAAAAUUUCAUUUUUGUCCUUUUUUUGAAGGUAACUAUUUUUGUUUUUUACUUUUUUGUGUUAAAGAUAUAAAAAAUAACUAUUUAAUAUCUACAAGUAAAAUAAAUUGUUUAUUUUUUAUUAAUAAUAUUAAAGAAGAUGAAUUGAUUAAACUGAGUUCUAAAACUUUUAGUUUUACAUGUAAUAUACAAUUAUGUCCUAUAAAUAAAACUUUUUUAAAAAGUGUACAUUUUAUUUUAUGUAACUUAAAUAAAUUAGAUAUAAACUUUUUUUUAAUAUAUUUAAAAAGCUAUUUAGAAUAUAUAAACGAAAAUAAGAAUAAUUUUUGUAUGAUGUCUGAUAGCAGUAGUAUAAGUAUGGAAGAUAAUAAAAUGGUUUCUUUUGUGGGUUUUGAUUUUGAUAAGUAUAUUAAGAAUGUGUUGUUUAAUCCUACCACUGUUCUUACUACUGCUCUUACUACUGCUCCUACUACUGUUCUUACUACUGCUCCUACCACUGCUCUUACUACUACUC